UACGAAGGGGGCUAGCGUUGUUCGGAAUUACUGGGCGUAAAGGGCUCGUAGGCGGCCAACUAAGUCGGAUGUGAAAUCCCCAGGCUUAACCUGGGAACUGCAUCCGAUACUGGAUGGCUUGAAUCCGGGAGAGGGAUGCGGAAUUCCAGGUGUAGCGGUGAAAUGCGUAGAUAUCGGGAGGAACACCUGUGGCGAAGGCGGCCCGCUGGGCAACUGCUGACACUGAGGCGCGACAGCGUGGGGAGCAAACAGG
rnacentral:rRNA from 1 species